AUUGAACGCUGGCGGUAUGCUUAACACAUGCAAGUCGAACGGUAACAGGCCUUCGGGCGCUGACGAGUGGCGGACGGUGAGUAACGCGUAGGAAUCUGCCUCAUAGUGGGGGACAACGUGGGGAAACUCACGCUAAUACCGCAUACGCCCUACGGGGGAAAGCGGGGGAUCUUCGGACCUCGCGCUAUGAGAUGAGCCUGCGUUAGAUUAGCUAGUUGGUAGGUAAAGGCCUGCCAAGGCGACGAUCUAUAGCUGGUCUGAGAGGACGAUCAGCCACACUGGGACUGAGACACGGCCCAGACUCCUACGGGAGGCAGCAGUGGGAAUAUUGGACAAUGGGCGCAAGCCUGAUCCAGCAAUACCGCGUGUGUGAGAGGCCUAGGGUUGUAAGCACUUCAAUUGGAGGAAACCU
rnacentral:rRNA from 1 species